GAGGGUAAAGCUCAGUGGGAGAGCGCAUGCUCAGCAUGCACGAACUCGUGGGUUCAAUCCCCAGUACCUCCA
rnacentral:tRNA from 1 species